CCUGGGAUGCCAUUACCAUCUUACUGGGCAGCAUUGGAUGUUUUCUGUGUUUCUAAUACUGCCUGGUAAUGAUGAUUAUGGUGUCUCGCAC
ensembl:miRNA